UACAGGGGGGGGCAAGCGUUUGUUCGGAAUUACUGGGCGUAAAGGGCUCGUAGGUGGCCAACUAAGUCAGACGUGAAAUCCCUCAGCUUAACUGGGGGAACUGCGUCUGAUACUGGAUGGCUUGAGUUUGGGAGAGGGAUGCGGAAUUCCAGGUGUAGCGGUGAAAUGCGUAGAUAUCUGGAGGAACACCGGUGGCGAAGGCGGCAUCCUGGACCAACACUGACACUGAGGAGCGAAAGCCAGGGGAGCAAACGGG
rnacentral:rRNA from 1 species